rnacentral:rRNA from 1 species
GACGUAGGGCGCGAGCGUUGUCCGGAUUUAUUGGGCGUAAAGAGCUCGUAGGCGGCUUGUUGCGUCGGCUGUGAAAUCCCGUGGCUUAACUGCGGGCUUGCAGCUGAUACGGGCGGGCUGGAGUUCGGCAGGGGAGACUGGAAAUUCCUGGUGUAGCGGUGAAAGUGCGCAGAGUAUCAGGAGGAACACCGGUGGCGAAGGCGGGUCUCUGGGCCGAUG